rnacentral:rRNA from 1 species
AUCCGGGUUGCGGACAGUGUCUGGUGGGUAGUUUGACUGGGGCGGUCUCCUCCUAAAGAGUAACGGAGGAGCACGAAGGUUGGCUAAUCCUGGUCGGACAUCAGGAGGUUAGUGCAAUGGCAUAAGCCAGCUUGACUGCGAGCGUGACGGCGCGAGCAGGUGCGAAAGCAGGUCAUAGUGAUCCGGUGGUUCUGAAUGGAAGGGCCAUCGCUCAACGGAUAAAAGGUACUCCGGGGAUAACAGGCUGAUACCGCCCAAGAGUUCAUAUCGACGGCGGUGUUUGGCACCUCGAUGUCGGCUCAUCACAUCCUGGGGCUGAAGUAGGUCCCAAGGGUAUGGCUGUUCGCCAUUUAAAGUGGUACGCGAGCUGGGUUUAGAACGUCGUGAGACAGUUCGGUCCCUAUCUGCCGUGGGCGCUGGAGAAUUGAGGGGGGCUGCUCCUAGUACGAGAGGACCGGAGUGGACGCAUCACUGGUGUUCGGGUUGUCAUGCCAAUGGCACUGCCCGGUAGCUAAAUGCGGAAGAGAUAAGUGCUGAAAGCAUCUAAGCACGAAACUUGCCCCGAGAUGAGUUCUCCCUGACUCCUUGAGAGUCCUGAAGGAACGUUGAAGACGACGACGUUGAUAGGCCGGAUGUGUAAGCGCAGCGAUGCGUUGAGCUAACCGGUACUAAUGAACCGUGAGGCUUAACCUUACAACGCCGAAGCUGUU